rnacentral:rRNA from 1 species
UAAGUUUUCUGUGAAAUCUUAUCUCUUAAAGAUGAGGCUGGCAGAAAAUACUAUUUGGCUAGAGAUUGGGAGACGUAAGCAGUAUGUGUGAAGUAGCGGUAAAAUGUGUUAAUCUCAAACAGACUAACAAUAGCGAAGGCAGCUUACGAGAACAGUUCUGACAGUCAGGGAUGAAGGCUAGGGGCGCAAAACGGAUUAGAUACCCGUGUAGUCCUAGCAGUAAACACUGCACACUAAACAUUGGGACCUCUUCGAGAGGUUUCAGUGCUGAAGAGAAGUCGAAGAGUGUGCUACCUGGGAAGUAUAGUCGCAAGGCUGAAACUUAAAGGAAUUGGCGGGGAGACACUACAACCGGUGACGCGUGCGGUUCAAUUAGAUUCUACACCGUGAACCUCACUAGGAGCGACAGCAGAAUGAAGGUCAGUCUGAAGGGCUUACCUAACACGCUGAGAGGAGUUGCAUGGCCGACGUCAGCCUGUGUCGUGAGAUGACCUGUUAAAUCAGGUAACAGGCAAGACCCACAUCUAUAUUUACUAAGUGUACAAUAUAGAGAUUGCUUUGGUAACGAAGAUGAAAGUGUGGGCUACGUUAGGUGAGUACAGCCCGAAUCCCCUAGGCUACACGCGCGCGUCAAUGGCAAAUACAACGGGAUGCGACACCGAAAGGUGAAGCUAAUCUCUUAAAGUUUGUCUUAGUUCAGAUUGAGGUUUGUAAC